ensembl:miRNA aca-mir-5444a aca-mir-5444a
AGGUGCUUCUUUCAGGUUCUUUCAGCAAGGAUUAAGGUCUGAGAGUCCAAGAGUUUAGUCCAUGCUGGAAGAGCAUGAAGAAAGCAGCA